AAGUCGUAACAAGGUCUCCGUAGGUGAACCUGCGGAGGGAUCAUUAACACGUUUCCAAAAACGUUUAUCAACCAAAUCAACGUGAACUAGAACCAACUCCCUUGACAGUGUGACCGAACGAAUAAUCAUCAGGGUGGAGGACAGUCUUCGGGCUGGACUAUGACUCGUUCUAGGGGCCCUUUGAGGCUUCAAUCCGCUGUCAAGUGUCUUUGCGACCACCUGGCAGACUACAAGGCUGACUAGACAUCUAGGCUUCUGCGUAGCGUUCUGUCGAAUCUCUUUUAUUUAACCCAACAUUUUUUAACCCCUUUAACCACAUACUAAUAACUGAACCAUUUCUAAUCGAUCGAUCUUGUAUUUCGGUAUGAGAGAGAGAGAAAAGAAAGAUAUACGUAAUGCUGAACAACUCUUAGCAAUGGAUAUCUUGGUUCUC
rnacentral:misc_RNA from 1 species